UGGGGAAUAUUGCACAAUGGGCGCAAGCCUGAUGCAGCCAUGCCGCGUGUAUGAAGAAUGCCUUCGGGUUGUAAAGUACUUUCAGUCGGGAGGAAGGUGGUAAGGUUAAUAACCUUAUCAAUUGACGUUACCGACAGAAGAAGCACCGGCUAACUCCGUGCCAGCAGCCGCGGUAAUACGGAGGGUGCAAGCGUUAAUCGGAAUUACUGGGCGUAAAGCGCACGCAGGCAGUUGAUUGAAUCAGAUGUGUAAUCCCCGGGCUUAACCCGGGAAUUGCAUCUGAUACUGGGCAGCUAGAGGCGUGUGGAGGGGGGUAGAAUUCCAUGUGGAGCGGUGAAAUGCGUAAAGAUGUGGAGGAAUACCGGUGGCGAAGGCGGCCCCCUGGACAAAGACUGACGCUCAGGUGCGAAAGCGUGGGGAGCAAACAGG
rnacentral:rRNA from 1 species